UAAUGUAGGUAAUGUAGGAAACAUGGGUAAUGUACAUGUAGGUAACAUAUUAUAAUUAGUAAUUAAGUAAGUGUUACAGUCAUUAUGCAAUUGCUGGGAAAUCAGCAAACAUGCUGGUUACAUCAUAGAUUGAAGAGUUCAAUCUAUGGUUACAUUAAUUUGAUGGCGACUAUAGUUACUUUGAUCUCUUUAUAAACAAAAACGAAUAAGUCGGUGCUCUUUAUCACUAUAAGGAGAGUGUCGUUUCAAAUUGUGUUCCAAAUUGUGUUCAUCACAUUAUUGCAACCGCUAAUUAUUACCACUGUUACAAAAUACCUACCUAUAUAAUGCGUAGCUAUAUACAUGCAUUACUGCAUCUAAUUAACUGCAUUACCUAUAAUACAUUAUAUACCCGUGUUACCUACAUUACCUACAUUACCUAUGUUACCUACAUUACCUACAUUACCAGUGUUACCUACAUUACCUACAUUACCAGUGUUACCUACAUUACCUACAUUACCAGUGUUACCUACCUUACCAGCAUUACCUACAUUACCAGUAUUACCUACCUUACCAGCAUUACCUACAUUACCCAUGCUACCUACCUUACCAAGCAUUACCAGUAUUACCAGCCCUUACCUACAUUGCCAGUGUUACCUACAUUACCUACCUUACCUAUGUUACCUACAUUAACCUACAUUACCAGCAUUACCUAUGUUACCUACAUUACCAGUGUUACCUACAUUACCCGUGUUACCUACAUUACCCAUGUUACCUACCUUACCUACAUUACCUAUGUUACCUACCUUACCAGUGUUACCUAUAUUACCUACAUUACCCAUGUUACCUAGUGCCUACGUUAAUAUACAGUAUACAUUACCUUAUGAUGUAAUACACAGUGUAAUAGUAUGAUGUAAUGCAAGGAAUAGUUAUACCAAGAAGCACCCAAAGCAACUACCGUAUAGCGGUUAUUUUUCGAGUGUAAAAUGUUCCAUUGGUUCGCAAGAACUGCAAAUUUAAUAUUGCAUGCAUACAUGCUCCACGAAAAUUAAGUUAUGGUUAGAACAUGGGCAUGAGGUAUCUAUGUGUUAUAGUGUCCCAAAGCUCGAGGGAUGAGGGAGUGACAGAAAACCUAAGCCGUGGCUUUAAGUUAAGAAAUGUUUGAGCGUAAUACAUAAUAAUUUCUAAUUCAGUAUCCCGACAAAGAAGUACAGCCUCCUGCAGUAGAGCUAGCAGAGGUACCGGUGUAGCACAGGAACAACGUGCUAACUUUGCCCCUUAUAACCAACCUUCGAAAAAAGGGAAACAAUGGACUAUUAAAAUGUUCUGUUUAGCAGAUAAGAACUCUGUUAAGGUUCCUUGUACUCCAUAUACUAGGGAAGCGCUUGUUGCAGCAAAUCUUGGUUCAAAAGAUGUCGUUGUAUGUCAAUCUGUUAGCAAAGACGAGUUUAGAGAAGUCAUUUUGGAGCUUUUGCGCUGUAUCCCUAACUCGAAGGACUUGGAUUUGAUUUCACCGUCUAUUGCUCAGUGUGUCCUAAAUUGCUAAAAGCUACUGUAGGCAAUGGCAAGGUGUAUAUAAGACCCAUUCAGCAAAUUUAGAUAUGUCUGCCGACAAAGAGGCUGUACCGGAGUGUGAGGUAUAUAAGUGCUUCCUUUGUUGAUUUAUAAAUCUCUGCUCUCUUGUUAAGAUUAACAUAUCUGAUCUGAGGAAACACGUUUAGAUGGAAAAAUUAUCUUCAUUGCAUGAUUUUAGGAUGGCAGAGUUUAGCAGUGACUCUUGAGGAAAAGCCCAACCGACCCAGUACAGUCAUUGAUUUGUCCAGAGAUGAUGACGUAAAAGAGGAGAGAGAAGAUGUGAAUGAAACUGAAGAAGCAUUGAUACAGCAUGCCACGUCUCAAUCCAAUAUGAGGUCAAUCCAAAUAUGAGUGUUAUAGAGGAGGUGAAACCUGCUUCACUUGCUGAGCUACUGGGGGACACUGUGGAAGUGUGUGAAUAGUUUGACUGAGGUUAACUUUCUUGUUAGAAGAGAAAGAGUUCUUGAAGAUGCACUUAGAAGGCUUCACUUUUGUGUUGGUGGGACAGUCAAUGUUGAAUUCUUCUUAGGUUGAAUUCUUAGGAGAAGCUGGUGAGGGUGGGCUCACAAGAGAUGAAAGAAAUCAGAACUUCCCUGUUUCGUGCUGUGUACCCAGACAUGAUGGUAUUGCUUUGCAGGACAACAAGUUCUUCUUUGUCGGAAAUCUUAUUGCAAUGGGUCUAGUGCAAGGAAGUACUCCUCCUGUGUAUCAAUACCUCUGUGGAGAAGACUUGCUUUCAAUAAAAAUAUCCAAAAACCAUAUUCCUCUGGAAGAGAUUGGUAAAGCUGAUGAUGAUGUCAAUUUGCAUCAGGUAUGCACAAGUGAAGAGAGUAUAAUUUUGGAAGCAGGGUACACCAAAGCUAUCUCACUAAUGAGGAAGGAUGAGUGACAAGUCUCAGCUCAUGAGAGCAUUGAUGCUCCUGCUACGUCCUGUUCUUUGAUCAAUUAAAGGAAGGCAUGAAUGCUCUGGGAAUUCUUAAGGCCUUGAAGCUUUACCCAGAAAUGAUGGAGCCGUUGUUUGUUGCUUUCCAGCAACAGCUCACUGCUGAUAUGUUUAAGAACCUCAUUGGAAAAGUACACUUAUCCGAGCAAGGAAGUACUGAGUCAACAAAGGUCAACAAAGGAAUACAUUGACUUUCUGUAUUCAAUCGAAGAGUAUCCGACUACUGACUUCCCAUUGGCAUCAACCUGUGCCUUAGAGUUGACCCUUGCCUCAAAGUUUCAUAAUGACUACGAAAUGUUCAAAGAUAAACUCGUGUAUAACCAUGGUGGCUUUGGCAUGCAUGCACUAUAGCUGCCUUUGUUCAUGUUGCCUUUGUUCAUGUUUUUAUAUACCACUCAUCAAAACUUAUUCUCAUUCAAUCAAUUGUGUUGGGUGUAAUUUGUUUGUCAUCUGCAGCUGCCUUUGUUCAUGUUUUUAUAUACCACUCAUUUUUAUAUACCACUCAUCAAAACUUAUUCUCAUUCAAUCAAUUGUGUUGGGUGUAAUUCCCGUUCUCUGUAUAAUUCAUGACUGCAUGGACAUUCUUAUUAUGUUUUGUCAGAUCGAUGUUAUAAUUAAAAACAACCUGGUUGCUAUGUAUACUGAUAGUCCUAAAUCAUUAAUAUUAUAUUGAAGUUCAGAAAGUUGUUGAGGUGUUAGGCAAAGUGGGUUGCUUGGAACUUCGACGAUAUUUUCAGCAGCACUAACUGAUACAGGUCCUUGCCAGUCUAUACUCACUGGUGUUAAGGAUGGCUCAGCCACAUGGUGCACAGGGCAUCAUAUCUUUGUGAUUGUGAUAUAUUAAUGGAUGAAAUUUAGUAGGAAUGUAGUUUUGUACGAAAUGUACACGCUUAAAAUGUUUGGAGGUCAUGUGACCUUCAGCGAUGUCGUUACAGUGUGAUUAAGAAGAUAAAAAAGGAGGAUUAGAAACAA